UACGAAGGGAGCUAGCGUUGUUCGGAAUUACUGGGCGUAAAGCGCACGUAGGCGGACUAUUAAGUCAGGGGUGAAAUCCCGGGGCUCAACCCCGGAACUGCCUUUGAUACUGGUAGUCUCGAGUCCGGAAGAGGUGAGUGGAAUUCCGAGUGUAGAGGUGAAAUUCGUAGAUAUUCGGAGGAACACCAGUGGCGAAGGCGGCUCACUGGUCCGGUACUGACGCUGAGGUGCGAAAGCGUGGGGAGCAAACAGG
rnacentral:rRNA from 1 species